rnacentral:rRNA from 1 species
UACGUAGGGUGCGAGCGUUGUCCGGAAUUAUUGGGCGUAAAGAGCUCGUAGGCGGUCUGUCGCGUCUGCUGUGAAAACUCAGGGCUUAACCCUGAGCUUGCAGUGGGUACGGGCAGACUAGAGUGCGGUAGGGGAGACUGGAAUUCCUGGUGUAGCGGUGAAAUGCGUAGAUAUCGAGAGGAACACCUGCGGCGAAGGCGGGUUGCUGGGCUGACAUUGACGCUGGAGGCACGAAAGCGUGGGGAUCAAACAGG